rnacentral:rRNA from 1 species
CAGUCGCCGCGGUAAUACGGAGGGUGCAAGCGUUAAUCGGAAUUACUGGGCGUAAAGCGCACGCAGGCGGUCUGUCAAGUCAGAUGUGAAAUCCCCGGGCUUAACCUGGGAACUGCAUUUGAAACUGGCAGGCUAGAGUCUUGUAGAGGGGGGUAGAAUUCCAGGUGUAGCGGUGAAAUGCGUAGAGAUCUGGUGGAAUACCGGUGGCGAAGGCGGCCCCCUGGACAAAGACUGACGCUCAGGUGCGAAAGCGUGGGGAGCAAACAGGAUUAGAUACCCGCGUAGUCCCUGUCUCUUAUAC